UUUUGGACAAUGGGGGCAACCCUGAUCCAGCCAUGCCGCGUGGGUGAAGAAGGCCUUCGGGUUGUAAAGCCCUUUCGGCGGGGACGAAAUCGCGGGGGUGAGAAGCCUUCGUGGAUGACGGUACUCGCAGAAGAAGCACCGGCUAACUACGUGCCAGCAGCCGCGGUAAUACGUAGGGUGCGAGCGUUAAUCGGAAUUACUGGGCGUAAAGCGUGCGCAGGCGGCCCUUUAAGUCAGGUGUGAAAGCCCUGGGCUUAACCUAGGAAUGGCGCUUGAAACUGGGGGGCUAGAGUGCGGCAGAGGGGGGUGGAAUUCCUGGUGUAGCGGUGAAAUGCGUAGAGAUCAGGAGGAACACCGAUGGCGAAGGCAGCCCCCUGGGUCGACACUGACGCCAGGCA
rnacentral:rRNA from 1 species